rnacentral:rRNA from 1 species
UCCGGGGGGAGCAAGCGUUGUUCGGAUUUACUGGGCGUAAAGGGCGCGUAGGCGGUCAGCACAGGUCAGUUGUGAAAUCUCCGGGCUUAACUCGGAAAGGUCAACUGAUACUGUGCGACUAGAGUGCAGAAGGGGCAACUGGAAUUCUCGGUGUAGCGGUGAAAUGCGUAGAUAUCGAGAGGAACACCUGCGGCGAAGGCGGGUUGCUGGGCUGACACUGACGCUGAUGCGCGAAAGCCAGGGGAGCGAACGGG